CUGAUUAUUCGGUACCUAGGCCCAUUUAAUCCCGCCUAGGGGCCAAGGGUGCCUAGGUUGGCCGACUAGCAUAUUUUCGAUGCGGCUAGCUGAUGCCUAGCGCCUAUACGGCCUCCUAGGCCAUUUUUGAGAACACUGAUUCAGAAGAUCAAAACAUUAGCAAAGAAGAAGGUUGUUGACGCAUACUCAAGUCCUUCAUUGAGUUCAUAACUUUGAGAGAAACAGAAAAUUUUCGAUCUAGUAGGCAAGAAAAUAAAAACUCUGUUACAGUGACAACUAUUCACCAGUCAAAAGGUCUAGAAUGGGAUGUUGUUUUCAUCGUGAAGGCCAAUGAUAAUGAAAUUCCUUUGCUUCAUGAAUAUAAUGAUGUUCACCAAGGUGCAACAACUCUUGAGGAGCGUAGGCUUUUAUAUGUUGUUGCAAUGACUCGUGCUCGAAAGAAGUAUAUUGUGUAUGUCAUCAUGGAUUCCAGUUGGCAGGUAAUCAUAUGGCCUUUUCACUUUCACAAAUCCUUUUAUUAUUGUUGGUCUAACGCUUCUGGUGCCACUUUCAAUUACUCCAACCUUCACGUUAAUGAAAUUCCAGGUCAUCUUCUGGAGACACAGGCGCUUUCAGUUGACUUUUCUUUUGGUUAUUCUGAUGAUUUGAAUUUAUGGUUGAAUUUCCUAUUUGUACUAAACCUUGUUUUUCCUUCUUUUAUUGUAUUCUUGUCAGAAUUUCAGAUAUUGGAGUAUACAUUCUUGAUUGA